rnacentral:misc_RNA from 1 species
AAGGCUUAGUUGAGUUGAGUUGUAAAUCUGAGAGUUGACCAAAAAGAAAUCAGUUAAACUGAAUUCUUGUGAAAUUUUAGUUUUCAAACAAGGGGUAUAUCCAUUUUUCUCUGGAAAAGAAAAUCCCAUCCUACUUUUUAACUUGAUUUUUUGAAACUGACAUACAAAAUGACGAACGUGGUUGUCUAUAACAUGAUUUUAUUUGAGAAUUGGAGCAAGCAGCAACCUGACAGGAUAAUUCCACUGAUGAACUGUCAGCUGUAUAAAAUAACACUUUGUAAGUAGCAUCUGGAGUAGGCCCAUCACUCUUCUCUAUUUUAAAUUCUUUAUCCCCCUGUUUGGAAUCUAGAA